CAUAACCAAGGCAGACAUCCUAACCCAAGAUAUUGGAUAUACAAAGUUUUGCCUGUAAUCUCUGUCCUUGCAUGUAAGGAUGACAAAAUUGAGACAAUUUACCUGUUGGUUACUAGGAGAAAAGGAACAUAAAAUAACUUAAAUCUUGGUUUCCAAGCUAGUCUCUGAAUAUGAUAUAUUCUAUCAGAAAGAAAUUUUCUUAACUUUCUCUUUUAUUUUUUUCUUUUCUUUUUUUUUCUUUUUUCCCCAGAUGGACUAGCUCUAUCAAGCACCUGAUGUGAACAAAACGAUUACAUCCUUAGUUGAUAUCACAGUUACAAUAUUACUUAUAUAUAUUAUGUAGCAAGCAAAAAAAGUCAUCAACAUUUUUUAACCUCUUUCUCCAAAUUUCCUCUCUUGGUCCAAGUUGGCAAGUCUUUCAGGACCAUAUCUUUUCAGCAGAUAAGGUAUCUGCAGUGAGAUGAUGAGCCACCUGGGAGAAUUAACACCUGGAUUUACA
rnacentral:lncRNA from 1 species